GAUGAACGCUGGCGGCGCGCCUAACACAUGCAAGUCGAACGGCACCCCUCCUCGGAGGGAAGCGAGUGGCGAACGGCUGAGUAACACGUGGAGAACCUGCCCCCUCCCCCGGGAUAGCCGCCCGAAAGGACGGGUAAUACCGGAUACCCCGGGGUGCCGCAUGGCACCCCGGCUAAAGCCCCGACGGGAGGGGAUGGCUCCGCGGCCCAUCAGGUAGACGGCGGGGUGACGGCCCACCGUGCCGACAACGGGUAGCCGGGUUGAGAGACCGACCGGCCAGAUGGGGACUGAGACACGGCCCAGACUCCUACGGGAGGCAGCAGUGGGGAAUCUUGCGCAAUGGGGGGAACCCGGACGCAGCGACGCCGCGUGCGGGACGGAGGCCUUCGGGUCGUAAACCGCUUUCAGCAGGGAAGAGUCAAGACUGUACCUGCAGAAGAAGCCCCGGCUAACUACGUG
rnacentral:rRNA from 1 species